UGCGUAGGCGGCUUUGUACGUCAGAGGUGAAAUCUACCGGCUCACCCGGUUAGACUGCCUCUGAAACUGCAAGGCUUGAGUCCGUCAGGGGAUGGUGGAAUUCCUGGUGUAACGGUGAAAUGCGUAGAUAUCAAGAGGAACACCUGAGGUGAAGACGGGUUGCUGGGCUGACACUGACGCUGAGGCGCGAAAGCCAGGGAGCAAACG
rnacentral:rRNA from 1 species